rnacentral:rRNA from 1 species
UCCAGACUCCUACGGGAGGCAGCAGUGAGGAAUAUUGGUCAAUGGCCGAGAGGCUGAACCAGCCAAGUCGCGUGAGGGAUGACGGCCCUACGGGUUGUAAACCUCUUUUGCCGGGGAGCAAAGAGCGGGACGCGUCCCGCCUCGAGAGUACCCGGAGAAAAAGCAUCGGCUAACUCCGUGCCAGCAGCCGCGGUAAUACGGAGGAUGCGAGCGUUAUCCGGAUUUAUUGGGUUUAAAGGGUGCGCAGGCGGCCUGUUAAGUCAGGGGUAAAAGCCCGGGGCUCAACCCCGGCGAGCCGUUGAGACUGGCGGGCUGGAGUUGGAGAGAAGUACGCGGAAUGCGCGGUGUAGCGGUGAAAUGCUUAGAUAUCGCGCAGAACCCCGAUUGCGAAGGCAGCGUACCGGCUCCACACUGACGCUGAGGCACGAAAGCGUGGGUAUCGAACAGGAUUAGAUACCCGGGUAA